rnacentral:misc_RNA from 1 species
AAGAGUUGUAAAACUCCCAAACCCAUGUGAACAUACCUCUGUUGCCUCGGUGGCCUACCCGGUAGCUACCCUGUAGUUACCCUGUAGUCCGCCGACGGACCACAACAAACUCUUUGUUUUAAUAUAUCUCUGAGAAAAACUUUUAAUAAGUCA